rnacentral:rRNA from 1 species
AUUGAACGCUGGCGGCAGGCCUAACACAUGCAAGUCGAACGGUAGCACAGAGAGCUUGCUCUCGGGUGACGAGUGGCGGACGGGUGAGUAACGUCUGGGAAACUGCCCGAUGGAGGGGGAUAACUACUGGAAACGGUAGCUAAUACCGCAUAACGUCGCAAGACCAAAGUGGGGGACCUUCGGGCCUCACACCAUCGGAUGUGCCCAGAUGGGGUUAGCUAGUAGGUGGGGUAAUGGCUCACCUAGGCGACGAUCCCUAGCUGGUCUGAGAGGAUGACCAGCCACACUGGAACUGAGACACGGUCCAGACUCCUACGGGAGGCAGCAGUGGGGAAUAUUGCACAAUGGGCGCAAGCCUGAUGCAGCCAUGCCGCGUGUAUGAAGAAGGCCUUCGGGUUGUAAAGCACUUUAAGCGAGGAGGAGGCUCUUUUGGUUAAUACCCAAGAUGAGUGGACGUUACUCGCAGAAUAAGCACCGGCUAACUCUGUGCCAGCCGCCGCAGUAA